UCCAUAAGAACCACAAAUGCAACCCAACAAGAAUUUUGCCAGCCAUAUUGUUGCAUCACUCUACUUACCUUUACAUCCUUCCCUGACCACUGGCCAAGAUCGUUCACCGUUUUCCCAACAGCUGCAGAAUAGUCCAUUGCAUGGCUAUGGAGUCGUACCCCACCCGUCCUUCGGGCCCCCGUCCUGCUUUAUUUUUCUCCAUUGCCCUCAUCCACACCUGGUAUGUUACCUGUGUUUUUUUCUAUUGUCUGUAUUUCGCCCCGACAGCUAUCCCCCCACCAGAAUGUAAGCUCCACAAAAGAAGAGCCCUCUUCGGCUUGUUCAUUGCCCGGUACAUGUUCCACUCCUGCAAAUCCUAGUUUUCCCAAGGCUGCUGGAAGUUUUAGUGAAUGAAGAAAGAAGCACAAUGCCCGGCCGGCUGGAGGAGGGAGGGCCAUGGAGUUUGGGAACCCAGCUAUCUGGGUCUAAACCCUGGCCUGCCAGUGGUCUGCCAGCUCAGAGACCUCUCUGACCCUCAGUUUCCUCAUCCUUUGUAGAUCAUGUGUGCAGAGCCCUUGACUGAGGGUCAGGAUCCAAAGGAAAACCAAGAAAGCUGGUGAGGGCACAGGUGGCAGGAGUUUGGGGCAGCGGCAGGUGGUUCUGGCUCCAGCUUGCAUCUCACAAGGGCCCUGAGAACCAGAAGACUGAGUAGAGGCAAGGGGAGGCUGCACGGGCCUAGUGAAGUGGGCAGGCUGGGAAGGAGCAGAUGCCUCUGGUCAUGGCCUAUACCAGGGCCCCUCCCCAACUGACCAGAUGACCUGGAGGCCCAAAGCCUGUCCAGGCCUGCCCAGGAGGGGACAGUGGAAUGGGAAGCCCAGCUGGCCAGAAGGCAGAGGAGCCUACGUUGUGGGCAAAGAGGCAGCACUCAGAGAAUUCAGAGAGUUCUGGAGCAAGAGUCAUUGAGCCUGUCCCAGCGAUGUCCAUUUCUGCCCAGGGGCCUCUGGCCAGAGUAGGUCUUGGCACCUCGCCAGCCCCUCCUCAUGGAGGGGAGACUUUCAGAUGUCUCUCCACAGGGACUCUCACUUCCUGCUCCCUGCAAGGUUGGCAUGGCUGACCCUGUUUCACAAACCAGGAGGCUGAGACCCAGGGGCAGGCGCAAAAGCAGCUGCCACGAAGCAGCAUGAAAUGGCCAAGCAGCUCCUUCCAGCCUCUUCCAUGUUCCGCCUGCUGUGGGGACCCACAUCCUACCAGAGCCCUUGGGACCAGCCCAUGCGGGGCGACCUGCCCCUCCCGCCCUUUGCCACUGUUCGUCUUCAAAAUGUAAAGUUAACUGAUCAAUUUCAGAGUCACUGUACAAAAUCUGUGUUCACAAGAACACAACAUAAAAGACACAAUAUAAAAAGCUCAGUGAUACCUCCA
rnacentral:lncRNA from 1 species